AUUGAACGCGGCGGCAUGCUUUACACAUGCAAGUCGGACGGCAGCGGGGGUGCUUGCACCUGCCGGCGAGUGGCGAACGGGUGAGUAACAUAUUGGAAUGUACCGAGUAGUGGGGGAUAACCAAUCGAAAGAUUGGCUAAUACCGCAUACGUCCUAAGGGGGAAAGCAGGGGAUCUUCGGACCUUGCGCUAUUUGAGCAGCCAAUAUCUGAUUAGCUAGUUGGUGGGGUAAAGGCCCACCAAGGCGACGAUCAGUAGCGGGUCUGAGAGGAUGAUCCGCCACACUGGGACUGAGACACGGCCCAGACUCCUACGGGAGGCAGCAGUGGGGAAUUUUGGACAAUGGGGGCAACCCUGAUCCAGCCAUGCCGCGUGUCUGAAGAAGGCCUUCGGGUUGUAAAGGACUUUUGUUAGGGAAGAAAAGGGAAGUGCUAAUACCACUUUUUGCUGACGGACCUAAAGAAAAGC
rnacentral:rRNA from 1 species